AGCUUUGCGCAGAGGCAAUACCAUAACCAAUGAAGUUCUACUGAGGUGUGGUUAUUGCUAGUUGAAAACUUUACCCAAUAUCCUGCCAAUACGACCUCACGGUCGGAUUAGGCAAUUUUUGUAGGUCUCUAAGGAGA
rfam:Strigamia maritima strain Brora ctg7180001233392, whole genome shotgun sequence.